GGGGGGCGGGGCGGGCCCGCGCGGCGGGAGUCACGACCGUCCCCCGGAAGGAGGGGACUGUCCGCACGAUGUCCUCUGUGAAGCGCCUCCGCUUCAGAAACUGUCAUUUUGUGCUGCUAGAAAUGGCUGCGGGCAAGUUGAUCCGAACGUUGAGCCCCGUGACGUUGCUGCCUGGUGGCUCCUGGGGAAUGUGUUUAUGGUUUUGUUGUGCUCCGUGGCCGGGGGCCUGAAGAAAGAGCACAAAUCAAGGGAGAGGGAGAGAGAAUCUCAAGCUGGGUCCUCCUUGAACAUGGAGCUUGACUCGGGUCUCCAUCCCAUGACCCUGAGAGCACCACCUAAGCAGAAACCAGGAGUGGGACUUAACCGACUCAGCAACCCAGGUGCCCGCUGUGUGGAUCUUCUAAAGCAGUGCACUGAAAACAGAAUUUGUGGCAAGUCCAGGCUUGUCCUCUAGCAGCUGCUCUUCUGCCAAGAAAGAUUCCUGCAGCACACCCUCAUCUAGAUCUGCUCCCUCAGUCUUGUUCUGACAAUGUUUCCAGGGGUCGGUUGGUGAGACUUGGCGUGGAAGAACAAUGUGAGAAGAGGGAUUCAUCAGAAUGUUCUAGAAGCUCUGAGUUUCACAGACCGCUGCCCCUGCCAAAUUGUCAGCCUGGUGGAGGCCAAAAGAGGCGGCCAACCCUGGAGCACCUGACUUUGCUGCUUAAAACUCAAGUCCUGACCCAGGCCCAACCCUACCACCCCGUUCUGGCUGACCCUGGGUGAUCUCUGCUGUUGGAGUUCGGAAGAGCUAGGGGUCCUGAGGGACUCAGAAGACCCUUGUAUUGCUGCACUGACCCUCAUGAACCUCUUCUGGCCUAGGGCCUCUGGAGCAGGUGCUGGCUGAGGCAGUCUGUGUGUGCCAGCCUGGGGGAGGGAGAAGCCAUGUGAUGACAAAGGCAGACUGAAUUUAUGCAGCUUUGAGCCCAGGAAUGCCAACGAUUGCAGAAAAACACCGGAAGCCAGGAAGGAGCGAGGAGGGGUUCCUCUGUAGCUUUCAGAGGGAACGUGGCUCUGCCGACACCUUGGUUUGGGAUUUCUGGCCUCCAGAACUGUGAGAUGAUAAAUUUCCAUUGCCUUAGGCCCCCCAGCCCAAGGCGCUUUGUUACAGCAGCUCCAGGAACCUAAUAAAGGUCGAACAGAGAUGCGUGAAAAUGA